UCCAGUUGCAAAUCAUAAAAAUCAUAUUGAGCAAAAGUACAAGAAUUACUGAGUAGGAUUCACAGCAUAGUUUCAUCAUACUCUAAUCUACAGGUUUAGAGACUAAGCUUAAAGGCCACGCUGAUUCUACAGCGCACCGUCUCCAGGAGAACGUCGUCUGAAGUAAUGACAGUGAGGCGUUGGCUUUCUAUGGUGUCAUUGCCAAUUGUUCUGUUUUCUAUACUACGAACGGCUGCUGCUGUAGAUGUCAAGGAAAGGAUGGACCGGGCUGAUUGCGACAAGCGGAUCGUCCAUUGCCGAUAUCCAUUAGCCUGCCGUCGCUGCCCACUCCAAGGCCUUGGCUUACGUUCCUGGAACAUUUACUACUACGAUAGGCGAACCCGCACCUGUCAACCGAACGGAGAGAGAAACAACUGCAAUGGAUUUCGUUCGUUUCUACAUUGCGAGGCACGCUGCAGUCCAGCAGCUGGAGCUCGUUAGUGACCGUAUCGAUUUCACAAUUUACUGAUACACGCGUUGAAAUA
rnacentral:lncRNA from 1 species